rnacentral:rRNA from 1 species
UACGUAGGGUGCAAGCGUUAUCCGGAUUUACUGGGUGUAAAGGGCGAGUAGACGGCGAUGCAAGUCAGAUGUGAAAUGCUAGGGCUUAACCUUAGAACUGCAUCUGAAACUGUAUUGCUAGAGUGCAGGAGAGGUAAACGGAAUUCCUAGUGUAGCGGUGAAAUGCGUAGAUAUUAGGAGGAACAUCAGUGGCGAAGGCGGUUUACUGGACUGUAACUGACGUUGAGGCGCGAAAGCGUGGGGAG